CGCGUCUGCGUUGGCUGCUGCGCGUUUGGGAAACCGGAGCAAUCAUGUUUUCUCCCAGCACUCUUCAGUCACAGGCUUCUCCAGAAUCACACUUUUCAAGUGCUCGAGAGAACAUGAGAAGAGCUAUGUAUAAAAAAGGAACCCCACCUUGGAGGGAGCUUCACAAACAGCGACUGCGGGAGCGACUGCGUGAGGGGCGCCACCGGCUGCUGAGCCGUCUGCGCGGGGUGGACGCCACCGACGCGGGCGGCCUGCCGG